rnacentral:rRNA from 1 species
GAAAGGGGUGCUAAUACCUGAUACGAUGCAGACUUCAAAAGGAGAUUGCAUGAAAGGUGACCUCUUCCUUGAAAGUUGCCGCUCGAAGAUGAGCCCGCGUCCCAUUAGCUUGUUGGUGGGGUAAUGGCCUACCAAGGCUCAGAUGGGUAGCUGGUCUGAGAGGAUGAUCAGCCACACUGGAACUGAGACACGGUCCAGACUCCUACGGGAGGCAGCAGUGGGGAAUAUUGCGCAAUGGGGGAAACCCUGACGCAGCAACGCCGCGUGAGUGAUGAAGGCCUUCGGGUCGUAAAGCUCUGUCAGGUGGGAAGAACAAGGAAAUUCCCAAUAAGGGUUUCCUUUGACGGUACCACCAGAGGAAGCACCGGCUAACUCCGUGCCAGCAGCCGCGGUAAUACGGAGGGUGCAAGCGUUGUUCGGAAUCACUGGGCGUAAAGCGCGUGUAGGCGGCCUUUUAAGUCAGAUGUGAAAGCCCUCGGCUCAACCAAGGAACUGCAUCUGAAACUAUCAGGCUUGAGUACGGGAGAGGAGAGUGGAAUUCCCGGUGUAGAGGUGAAAUUCGUA